GCCCGCUUAGGCAAACUGGCAAAGCCGCUCGGCUUAGACCCGAGAGUUUGGGGGUUCGACUCCCCCAGUGGGUACCA
rnacentral:tRNA from 1 species